rnacentral:rRNA from 1 species
AUGGACCCGCGGCGCAUUAGCUAGUUGGUGAGGUAAUGGCUCACCAAGGCAACGAUGCGUAGCCGACCUGAGAGGGUGAUCGGCCACACUGGGACUGAGACACGGCCCAGACUCCUACGGGAGGCAGCAGUAGGGAAUCUUCCGCAAUGGACGAAAGUCUGACGGAGCAACGCCGCGUGAGUGAUGAAGGUUUUCGGAUCGUAAAGCUCUGUUGUUAGGGAAGAACAAGUGCCGUUCAAAUAGGGCGGCACCUUGACGGUACCUAACCAGAAAGCCACGGCUAACUACGUGCCAGCAGCCGCGGUAAUACGUAGGUGGCAAGCGUUGUCCGGAAUUAUUGGGCGUAAAGGGCUCGCAGGCGGUUUCUUAAGUCUGAUGUGAAAGCCCCCGGCUCAACCGGGGAGGGUCAUUGGAAACUGGGGAACUUGAGUGCAGAAGAGGAGAGUGGAAUUCCACGUGUAGCGGUGAAAUGCGUAGAGAUGUGGAGGAACACCAGUGGCGAAGGCGACUCUCUGGUCUGUAACUGACGCUGAGGAGCGAAAGCGUGGGGAGCGAACAGGAUUAGAUACCCUGGUAGUCCACGCCGUAAACGAUGAGUGCUAAGUGUUAGGGGGUUUCCGCCCCUUAGUGCUGCAGCUAACGCAUUAAGCACUCCGCCUGGGGAGUACGGUCGCAAGACUGAAACUCAAAGGAAUUGACGGGGGCCCGCACAAGCGGUGGAGCAUGUGGUUUAAUUCGAAGCAACGCGAAGAACCUUACCAGGUCUUGACAUCCUCUGACACCCCUAGAGAUAGGGCUUCCCCUUCGGGGGCAGAGUGACAGGUGGUGCAUGGUUGUCGUCAGCUCGUGUCGUGAGAUGUUGGGUUAAGUCCCGCAACGAGCGCAACCCUUGAUCUUAGUUGCCAGCAUUCAGUUGGGCACUCUAAGGUGACUGCCGGUGACAAACCGGAGGAAGGUGGGGAUGACGUCAAAUCAUCAUGCCCCUUAUGACCUGGGCUACACACGUGCUACAAUGGACAGAACAAAGGGCAGCGAGACCGCGAGGUUAAGCCAAUCCCACAAAUCUGUUCUCAGUUCGGAUCGCAGUCUGCAAU